rnacentral:lncRNA from 1 species
AAUAAUGUAAUGAUUAUUAAUGAGAGAGAGAGCAAGAAUUGGUGGAUAAAGUAAAAGGCCAGAUGGCCGGAUGGUUAUUGAGGAAGAAAAGAAGGCCACAUUGGUGGUUUUGUUUGAGGAGGAGAAAGAAGGAUAAAUGUAGAUAUUUAGAUAUAUCUAUAUUUAAUAAAAGAAGUUUAUCUUUUUUCUUUAUCUCAUUUCUUAUCACAACUAAAAGAAAAAACUAGAGAGAGAGAGAGGAGAGGGAUGGUUGAAGGAAGGAAGGAAGAAGAGAGAAGAGGAGGGAGAAAGUUCAUCCAUGGAAGAAGAAGAAGAAGGAGAGCAUGUGAAUCAAAGGUAUAAAUACCUUUUGCUUAUGUAUUUUUGAUUAUUAUAAAUAAAAACUUGGAUUUAUGUUUCUAAACUCAAAACCAUAAAUAUACAUACUGAUGAGUGUUUUAUGUUUAGAUAUACUCAUAUUGGCUAUUGAAUGGUUAGGAAAUCAAAAGAAAAUUUUUCUAGUUUAUAAACCAUAAAAUUUUUGUGUACUUUGGAUUUCCACCGUUUUUGAUCUACACCUUUUUUUUUGUGAUCCAUCAAAGUGAGGUGCUAUAUAUGUAAGUUAACUAAUAAACUUAAGUGGUAGAACUAAAAAAUGUUGAGUACACAAGCCAUAGUGACUGUUUUAGAAAAAUCAGUUUCGUUGUUAAAACAAAGAAAACAGACUAUUUUGGUCCAGUCAGUGCCAGGGGUAGUUUCAUCAUUUUUUUGGACAUUCAAAAAUUCUAGAAAACGUUGGGAUGAUAAUAUGAUGAGUUUUCUAACAUCUCCAAGUGGAAUCACUGAAAAAGAAGUUGUAGAUUUCCGUAUGGACUAUUUUUAACAAAGUACGAAAAAGUCAUUUUUAAAAAAAAAACUACUAUUCCAAAAAUUGAAAGGGCAGUUUCAGCCAAUUAAUUAAUGAAAUAAAUUCAGGCCUUUUGGGACAUGAAAAUAUAUUAUAUAAAGUAGUUCAUGUCCAAAAAUGAGCUCAUUACGACUUAAAAUGACUAAGUUAUGGUCAUUUCAAUUCUUGGGAUUUUUCAACAAAAACAGCUAUAACUGGAGUUCUAUAACUACGAUGGCCACGAAAUUUAAAUUGAAGGCUCACGUUAACACGUAUAAGAUUGUGUCUAGAGAUGGGAAUUUUUAGAGUUGAGCAUGAUAGGGCUAAUUUCUUAAGCUACGAAAUAAAAAUGAUUUUUGAAAAAUACUAAAGGAAGUUAAAAAAUUAUGAAAAAAUACUUUUUGUGUAUGAAAUAUAUGUAUAUAUGUUUGGACGAAGGAUAGAAAAAUAAUAAGUUGAUUUGGUAUUUUCGUGAAAAGGAUAUUGAAUCCAGCUUGCUGGAUUGAAGGAUUUAUGAAUCCAGGCUUGUUGGAUUGAAGUAUUAUGAAUCCAACUUGUUGUAUUGAAGGAUUGGUGAAUCCAUGCUUGCUGGAUUGGAAAUUAGUUGAAUCCUGUCUGUUGAAUUUAGAAUUCAGUUUGCUGGAUUUGGAAUCCAAUUUGCUGGAUUGCAAUCUGAGUUGUUGGAUUGGUAUGUUUGGAUAAUCCAGGUUACUAGAUUAUUAUUUGACUUAUUACAUUAUUUUUUGAAAAAAAAGAACUUAUAAAAUAAGAUUAAAGUGUUAAAUUAUAAUGUAUAUAAUAUAGUGAUUAAAGAAUUAUCAAAGGACGAUAAUAAUAAUGAUGUUUUAAGGAGUAAUCUAAUAUUUUAUUAUGUAAUAAGUGUUUAAGUUAUAUAACGACUGUAAUUAACAAUAGUGUAUGUGAUGAUAUUAUUCUAUUUGAGUGAUCGAUAUUAUCAAUAAUAGGUCUUUCAACUGAAGCUUAAUUAACUUUGCGUAGCAAUAAUCUACGGUAUAGGCAAGUUUCUGAAUUAUACUCUUGUAUGGAGCAAGUUCAUAUACUUUUAUUGUGUAUGUUUUCCUAACUCAACUUGAGUUAUUAUUUCAAAGCAUGUUAGUGGUUAAUCAUUGUUGAUUAUACCACGUCUAUAAUGUAUUGAUUCACCUUCAUUACCAUAUGUUUUAGUUAAACUUGUUCAUG